rnacentral:pre_miRNA from 1 species
CUUAUACUCCCUCCGUCCGGAAAUAUUUGUCCUAGAAAUGGAUAAAAUGGAUGUAUCUAUAACUAAAAUAAGUCUAGAUACAACCAUUUCUAAGACAAGUAUUUCCGGACGGAGGGAGUAGCUA